AUUGAACGCUGGCGGCAGGCCUAACACAUGCAAGUCGAGCGGGGUUUUCGGACCUAGCGGCGGACGGGUGAGUAAUGCGUAGGAAGCUGCCCGAUAGAGGGGGAUACCAGUUGGAAUCGACUGUUAAUACCGCAUAAUGUCUACGGACCAAAGUGUGGGACCUUCGGGCCACAUGCUAUCGGAUGCGCCUACGUGGGAUUAGCUAGUUGGUGAGGUAAUGGCUCACCAAGGCGACGAUCUCUAGCUGGUUUGAGAGGAUGAUCAGCCACACUGGAACUGAGACACGGUCCAGACUCCUACGGGAGGCAGCGGUGGGGAAUAUUGGACAAUGGGCGCAAGCCUGAUCCAGCCAUGCCGCGUGUGUGAAGAAGGCCUUCGGGUUGUAAAGCACUUUCAGCGAGGAGGAAGGGUGGUGUGUUAAUAGCACAUCAUUUUGACGUUACUCGCAGAAGAAGCACCGGCUAACUCUGUGCCAGCCGCCGCGGUAAAAC
rnacentral:rRNA from 1 species